AUUGAACGCUGGCGGCAGGCUUAACACAUGCAAGUCGAGCGGGGUGAUGGUGCUUGCACUAUCACUUAGCGGCGGACGGGUGAGUAAUGCUUAGGAAUCUGCCUAUUAGUGGGGGACAACAUCUCGAAAGGGAUGCUAAUACCGCAUACGUCCUACGGGAGAAAGCAGGGGAUCACUUGUGACCUUGCGCUAAUAGAUGAGCCUAAGUCGGAUUAGCUAGUUGGUGGGGUAAAGGCCUACCAAGGCGACGAUCUGUAGCGGGUCUGAGAGGAUGAUCCGCCACACUGGGACUGAGACACGGUCCAGACUCCUACGGGAGGCAGCAGUGGGGAAUAUUGGACAAUGGGGGGAACCCUGCUCCAGCCAUGCCGCGCGUGUGAAGAAGGCCUUAUGGUUGUAAAGCACUUUAAGCGAGGAGGAGGCUCUUUUGGUUAAUACCCAAGAUGAGUGGACGUUACUCGCAGAAUAAGCACCGGCUAACUCUGUGCCAGCCGCCGCCGUAA
rnacentral:rRNA from 1 species